GUCCUGUGCGCUGGCGUUUUUGAAAAUUUCGAAAAAAUAGUUUGUUGAAGGCGUCUGCAAAUAUAAAUACACACACAUAUAUGCUCACUUAGCGCGGCGGUACGGUCGAGCGGUACACAAAAAGGCAGAGUAAUACCACGCAAUCAAAUUGCAAGUCCAAGAAACAGGAAACGGAAGUCGGUAUAAAACGCGGGCCAACAGCUCCGCUUCGCAAACGGUAAACAGUUUGAACGCCGACGCCAAACCGUUUAACCCGUUUCGAGUGCGCGUAAUUCGAUUAGCAGUCCAAAAGCCAAGCAAGAAAUAAAUAAAAAAUAGAGAAGAAAAUUACAAAUAAUUAACCGACGGCAUUCGGUAACUACUUGGGCAACAUUUUUUUACUGUGAUUUUUUUCUCAGUUCCGUCGCGUUCCACAAAAAAUUCGCAUUCAAUUGAUGAACUAGCCAACGGCGAAGAGAAUUAAAUACAAGUGCAGUGCAUACGAUCGAUCGAAGAAUCAAAGCCAAUAUAUAAGUAGAAAGAAAUAUAGUUUAGGGCGCAGUUGAGCGGGCCCAGUGCAUUCGAUAUUUGUUGAUGUCCUGCAUGCAGGACACGUGCUAAGGCUGUCCCAGUAAGUGCUUCAAAAUUUACUCGCCAACCACUUUCGACGCCUCCAGGGCGUUCAAGCUGGAGGAGGAUUUCGUCGGCGGCUGCAUGACAAUGUCGAUGUACUCGACGACGGAUAAAAUGAAAAUGUCAGCGCCCAGUUGUUUUCCAGGACGCUACAGUCCCUCCUAUCGAAGUUCGGAGCAAAUGCGUCGCUGCAUGCCAAAUCCAUCUGGUGAUAUCUUCGCGGGCAUCAACGAUGGAAUCCUCAGCAGAGCGGAGGCCCUGGCCGCCGUCGACAUCCAGAAGCACCAAGCCCAGCAUGUACAUAGCCAAAUGCCCUCCCAAAUCAAGCACGACGUCAUGUACCACCAUCACUCCAUGAGUGGGCCUCCCCAGCGUCCGUUGCAGGAAAAUCCUUUUUCUCGACAGAUGCACCACUCGAUGGACCAACUGGACAUGCUGGAUCCGACGGGCUCGAUGACCACACUGGCGCCCAUCUCGGAGUCGCCGCUGACGCCCACACACCAACACCUGCACGGUUCCUAUCACAGCAUGAAUCACAUGAUGAGCCACCACCAUCCGGGCACGUUAAGUGGCCACACGGGGGGACAUCAUGGACACUCGGCGGUACAUCAUCCUGUUAUCACGGCGGCGGUGGCUGCCGCUGGCCUGCAUCCCGACACAGAUACCGAUCCUCGCGAGCUGGAGGCGUUUGCGGAGCGCUUCAAGCAGCGGCGCAUCAAGCUGGGUGUCACGCAGGCGGACGUGGGCAAAGCCCUGGCCAAUCUCAAGUUACCUGGCGUCGGAGCGCUGUCGCAGAGCACGAUCUGUCGAUUCGAGAGCCUGACCCUGUCCCACAACAACAUGAUCGCCCUCAAGCCCAUCCUGCAGGCGUGGCUCGAGGAGGCCGAGGCGCAGGCGAAAAACAAGCGGCGCGAUCCGGAUGCGCCCAGUGUCCUGCCGGCGGGCGAAAAGAAAAGAAAAAGGACUUCCAUUGCGGCACCUGAAAAGCGUUCCCUGGAAGCCUACUUCGCCGUCCAGCCGAGGCCAUCCGGUGAGAAAAUCGCAGCGAUUGCCGAAAAGCUGGAUUUGAAGAAAAACGUGGUGCGCGUCUGGUUCUGCAAUCAACGUCAAAAACAAAAACGUAUAGUUAGUAGUGUAACACCAUCAAUGACUGGCCACGGUUCGGCGGGAUUUGGAUACUGAUAGUCGUUUAUGACGGCAGCGGCGGCGGUUAACACGGCAGCGGCAGCGGCGGCAGGAGCGGCACAUGCGACAUUGGGAACGGCGGCGGCGGCGGCGGCGGCGACAUCGGCCUGUCUGGGCGACUAUUAUCUGUAGUUCUGUAUCGGCAACUGGUUCUGAACCGAUCCAAACCGAUACCGAUACCGAUACCGAUCCCGAUCCUGGUCCUGCUCCUGAUCCUCGUACAUACAUGUAGUAUUCUUCGCAACGGCAGCAACACCCCCACAACCACCACCACCACCACCACCACAACCAUCACAACCACAAGGGCAACCACAACGAUAACGACAACCAUAAUAACCACGACGAUGACCACUUCUCUCUACGUAUUUCACUCAGUAAUCAACAAGCAGCGGCCAGAAAUAAUACUAAUAAUAAUAAAAGCAGCAUUACACAGAACUAUAACAUUUAUAUACACCUUCUCCUCAACUAUAUAUGUAUAUCCCCCGAUUCUUAAGCCCCCCCUCCUACGAUCAAUCAGAAAUAGAGAGAGCGAGAGAGAAUGAGUGUGAGAGAGAGAGAAAGCUAAACCCCCAACCGAGAGCCCAAAAAUCGAAAUGGAGAACACUCGAGCAUUAUCCAAGUAAACAUCGUUUGCAAAUAACACAACCAAUGAGAAUGCAAAUUGAAUACCAAGAAAUACAAGAAUUUUUUUAGGAACGAAUAAUGAAACAAUGGACCAACAUAUCAAAUGCAAUAAUUUAUUGAAUUGUAUAAGAAAAAAAGGAAGAAAAAAAUGAGCAAAAAGCGGUGAACAAAUUGAAAUGAUAAAUCAAUUGAACACGGGCCUUCCCCUCCAAAACGAGAAACCCCAACUGCUACUGCCCAACAACAAGGAUACACAGGACAUCACACGCACACACUGCUACACAACUAAACACACACACACACACACACACACA